GGUCCCAUAGCUCAGUUGGUUAGAGCGUCGUACUAAUAUUAAGUUAAUGCGAAGGUCGAGAGUUCGACCCUCUCUGGGACCA
rfam:Microsporum canis CBS 113480 supercont1.4 genomic scaffold, whole genome shotgun sequence.